rfam:Schistosoma mansoni strain Puerto Rico chromosome 4, complete genome
AUCGAGCUGACGAGUCCCAAAUAUGAUGAAACGCGCGUCCUGGAU